GAUGAACGCUGGCGGCGUGCCUAAUACAUGCAAGUAGAACGCUGAAGGAAGGAGCUUGCUCUUUCCGGAUGAGUUGCGAACGGGUGAGUAACGCGUAGGUAACCUGCCUGGUAGCGGGGGAUAACUAUUGGAAACGAUAGCUAAUACCGCAUAACAGUAGAUGUUGCAUGAUAUCUACUUAAAAGGUGCAAUUGCACCACUACCAGAUGGACCUGCGUUGUAUUAGCUAGUUGGUGAGGUAACGGCUCACCAAGGCGACGAUACAUAGCCGACCUGAGAGGGUGAUCGGCCACACUGGGACUGAGACACGGCCCAGACUCCUACGGGAGGCAGCAGUAGGGAAUCUUCGGCAAUGGACGGAAGUCUGACCGAGCAACGCCGCGUGAGUGAAGAAGGGUUUCGGAUCGUAAAGCUCUGUUGUAAGAGAAGAACGAGUGUGAGAGUGGAAAGUUCACACUGUGACGGUAUCUUACCAGAAAGGGACGGCUAACUACGCG
rnacentral:rRNA from 1 species